GGCUGCACUAGACCAAGGAUGAGCUAUUCCACACAAUCGUCUGCUUAUCCGGAAUCACUUUUCCCUGCAAGGCCAGAGAAAAAUCACAGCUUCGCUGUCAGAGGGAAGGAGGGCAGAUGACCUGGAAAAAUGUGACGAGAUCUGGAGCGAGAGCUUGUCCAGCUUGGCCGUCCCAACCGCGCCUGCAUUCAAAGACUAAGCUACCCCCACAGAAAGCCAAGGACAGCUACGGCAGCAAAGCCUGAGAUAAUUGACUGAAUUCAACAUGAGAUUUGACACCAAGAAGAAAAACACACCGAUACACAGAGAACAGAAAAAUCAUCCGUUGGCAAUUCCCACCCUCAAGGUUUGGCCUUUGAAUUGUCCAAUUUGUGACUGGCCAGGGAAGAAUAUUUCUCCUCAGCGCAAAUUUUUUUAUUUUAUUUUAUUAAACCUUUAUUUAUUUGACA